GAUGAACGCUGGCGGCGUGCCUAAUACAUGCAAGUCGAGCGAACGGACGAGAAGCUUGCUUCUCUGAUGUUAGCGGCGGACGGGUGAGUAACACGUGGAUAACCUACCUAUAAGACUGGGAUAACUUCGGGAAACCGGAGCUAAUACCGGAUAAUAUUUUGAACCGCAUGGUUCAAAAGUGAAAGACGGUCUUGCUGUCACUUAUAGAUGGAUCCGCGCUGCAUUAGCUAGUUGGUAAGGUAACGGCUUACCAAGGCAACGAUGCAUAGCCGACCUGAGAGGUGGAUCGGCCACACUGGAACUGAGACACGGUCCAGACUCCUACGGGAGGCAGCAGUAGGGAAUCUUCCGCAAUGGGCGAAAGCCUGACGGAGCAACGCCGCGUGAGUGAUGAAGGUCUUCGGAUCGUAAAACUCUGUUAUUAGGGAAGAACAUAUGUGUAAGUAACUGUGCACAUCUUGACGGUACCUAAUCAGAAAGCCACGGCUAACUACGU
rnacentral:rRNA from 1 species